UGGGAUUUAAGGGAUUGAGGAUCUAUCAAUGUGAGUGCGAAAAGGGUUUAAGGAAUUGAGGGUCUAUGAAUGCAAGAGUGAACAAGGUGCAGUAUAGGAUUGAAGAUCUACUAAUACAAGUGUGAAUGGAAUGCAAUUAAGGUUGAGGUUCUAUUAGUGCAUGUGUAAAUGUGGUGCAGUUCAAGAUCUACAAAUGCGAAGGUGAAUAUGAUUUAAUGAGUUGAGGGUCUAUCAAUAUGAAUAUGAAUAGGGUUAAAGGAAUUCAAGGCCUACUAGUACAAGUGUAAAUGGGGUUUUAAGAAUUCAAGGCCUACUAGUAAAAGUCCAAACAAGGUUCAAGGUUGAGAGUCUAUCAAUAUGAGUGUGAACAAGGUUUAGAGUUGAAGAUCUACCAAUGCGGGUGUAAGGACUUUAGUAUCUACCAGUGGAAAUGUAAAUAGAGUUUAGGAUUGAGGGUCUAUUGGCAUAAGUGUAAACGGAAUUUAAAGAGGUUUAAGGUCUACAAAUGCAAGUAUAAAUGGAUUUAAAGAAUUUUUGGAUGUACAAAUACGAAUGUGAAUCAAGCUUAGGAUCCAAAGUAUACGAUCAAGGUUAAGAAAUUACAAGU
rnacentral:lncRNA from 1 species